rnacentral:rRNA from 1 species
UACAGAGGGUGCGAGCGUUAAUCGGAAUUACUGGGCGUAAAGCGCACGUAGGUGGCGACGUAAGUCGGGUGUGAAAGCCCCGGGCUCAACCUGGGAAUUGCAUUCGAGACUGCAUUGCUGGAGUACGGAAGAGGAAGGCGGAAUUCCCGGUGUAGCGGUGAAAUGCGUAGAUAUCGUAAGGAAGGCCGGUGGCGAAAGCGAGCCUCUGGACAGUUACUGACGCUGAUGCACGAAGGCCAGGGGAGCAAACGGG